AUGAUUUAAUUAAAUAGCCGCAGUACCCUGACUGUGCAAAGGUAGCAUAAUAAAUUGUCCUUUAAUUGAGGUCAUGAAUGAAGGAAAUAACGGGGAAAUACUGUCUUCAAUUAAUUUUUUUUAUAAUUUACUCAUUAGGUGAAAAUUCCUAUAUAAAUAACUGAAAGACGAGAAGACCCUAAGAGUUUUUUAUAUAAAGAAUAAUAUUCUUAUUAUUUUGUUGGGGCGACAUAUUUACAUUUUUAUUAUAUAUAUUUUUUAAUAAUAUAUAUUAUAUUUAUAAACUUAAUAAUUAAUUAAUAAAUAAAACGGAAUAAUUUCAAUAAUAAUAAAACUACCUUAGGGAUAACAGCAUAAUUAUUUUAAUAGAUUGUGACCUCGAUGUUGGAUUAGGUAAUUUUUAAAUCAAAAAUGUAAAAAGUUAGUUCUGUUCGAACAAUUAUAACCUACGU
rnacentral:rRNA from 1 species